rnacentral:rRNA from 1 species
GAUGAACGCUGGCGGCGUGCCUAAUACAUGCAAGUCGAGCGAACAGACGAGGAGCUUGCUCCUCUGACGUUAGCGGCGGACGGGUGAGUAACACGUGGAUAACCUACCUAUAAGACUGGGAUAACUUCGGGAAACCGCAGCUAAUACCGGAUAAUAUAUUCAACCGCAUGGUUCAAUAGUGAAAGACGGUUUUGCUGUCACUUAUAGAUGGAUCCGCGCCGCAUUAGCUAGUUGGUAAGGUAACGGCUUACCAAGGCAACGAUGCGUAGCCGACCUGAGAGGGUGAUCGGCCACACUGGAACUGAGACACGGUCCAGACUCCUACGGGAGGCAGCAGUAGGGAAUCUUCCGCAAUGGGCGAAAGCUUGACGGAGCAACGCCGCGUGAGUGAUGAAGGUCUUCGGAUCGUAAAACUCUGUUAUUAGGGAAGAACAGAUGUGUAAGAAACUAUGCACGUCUUGACGGUACCUAAUCAGAAAGCCACGGCUAACUUCGUG